GUUCGAAAUGCGUUUGCACAGACACACGGUCCUCAUUCAAUCAGUCUGCUCCAUCAGCGGUCCAACACCAGCAGCAUGCUCGGCAGCAACUGAUCAUGGUGGAAAACCAAAAGGUUGCAGUCAGUCACUGCUCCGCCCGAUUUGCCUACUCUGCCUUGCCCACGUCGGAUAUGUCAUUGGCGUCUGCUUUCUGGACAAACGACCUUGCUUCUGCCUCCUGACCAACCCUCUCUGCCAAACCCUUGGAUUUGUAUGCCUGAAUCUGCCUCCCCGUUCAUAACCUUGCUUCUGUGCCCCGACCCACUAUUCAAGCCUCUCCUUCGGAUCCUGUCAUCUGAUUCUGUCCUCCCGGCUCUGACCCUGUUUCUGUCCCCUGACCGCCGCCUUCUGCUCAGUCAUUGGGUUUGUAAACCUGACAGGCAGUUGGACAUUGUCCUGCUGCCUCCUGACGAUCACACUGAGGAGCCGAUAUUCAGUUUCCUGAUCCUCUCACGGAUUCUGAAAAUGUUAGUGGCUUUAUUUCUGAGUUUUGCUACAUUCUCAGUUCUUUGCUCAGCCACUAACCAGUCUCUUGGUCUCCAGAGGUUCCUGUGCCCACGGCUGGUGUUUUCCUGCUGAAGGAGUCCAGAAAGAUCAAUAAAUCUUUUAAAACUUAUCAGUUAUGUCCAGUUGAAAUUUCUGGUUUUCUGAACAACCUGUCACAAAAGAAGGAAAAAUGAAACGCAGCUAAAUGUCAAAUAUUUAGAUUGUUUUAUCCUAAACUAAUUAUCUAUGCCCAGACUCAACAUCCUACUGUGAACCAUUCUAAAAACAGGAGAGCGCAUUGAGUUCAGCAGGUCCAACAAACAGA